rnacentral:rRNA from 1 species
UAGCAAGGUUAACCGAAUAGGGGAGCCGAAGGGAAACCGAGUCUUAACUGGGCGUUAAGUUGCAGGGUAUAGACCCGAAACCCGGUGAUCUAGCCAUGGGCAGGUUGAAGGUUGGGUAACACUAACUGGAGGACCGAACCGACUAAUGUUGAAAAAUUAGCGGAUGACUUGUGGCUGGGGGUGAAAGGCCAAUCAAACCGGGAGAUAGCUGGUUCUCCCCGAAAGCUAUUUAGGUAGCGCCUCGUGAAUUCAUCUCCGGGGGUAGAGCACUGUUUCGGCAAGGGGGUCAUCCCGACUUACCAACCCGAUGCAAACUGCGAAUACCGGAGAAUGUUAUCACGGGAGACACACGGCGGGUGCUAACGUCCGUCGUGAAGAGGGAAACAACCCAGACCGCCAGCUAAGGUCCCAAAGUCAUGGUUAAGUGGGAAACGAUGUGGGAAGGCCCAGACAGCCAGGAUGUUGGCUUAGAAGCAGCCAUCAUUUAAAGAAAGCGUAAUAGCUCACUGGUCGAGUCGGCCUGCGCGGAAGAUGUAACGGGGCUAAACCAUGCACCGAAGCUGCGGCAGCGACGCUGAUGCGUUGUUGGGUAGGGGAGCGUUCUGUAAGCCUGUGA